UCUACGUCCGAGGUAAUGUCUCCCUCCGCGUGUACCUGACGAGUACGGCGCGGGCUGGUGGUCGCGCAGGGCUCCCAGCGUGCAGCUGGCCGUGCUGAGCGGGGCGCAGGCCGGGUUGGAGAAGGGCCCGCCGCGGAUGGGGUUGUACUGGAACGAGCUGGCCUGGCUGCACGAGCUGAAGUCCGCGUAGGCCGACGCUUCCAUGGCGGCCAUGCACGAGUCAUAGGAGUUCAGGAAGCUGGGGCGAUUUAAUUCAUGAUUGCACGAGUCCGGCGCAGCAGUUUUCGGGCCCAUGAGGAGGCCGUCCCUGUGGGUUCAAAGCUGGAUGAGGAAGGAGGAGGAGGAGGACAGAGGGACGAGCAGGCUGCAAAUUCUGCGUUAAGAGCGGAGACACAAACGAUAAUAAGGUGGGGGGGGGAAAAAAACAAACAUGCACGACCCAUCGGUCAUUCACCGCCUUCACCUGAACACGCGCGCGCGCACACACACA